rnacentral:rRNA from 1 species
GUAACAGAUAGGUUCGAUUCUGGCUCGAUUGAACGCUGGGCGGGAUGCUUUACACAUGCAAGGUCGAACGGCAGCACGGACUUCAGUCUGAAAGAGUGCGAACGGUGAGUAAUGUGUAUCGGAAUGCCCAGUAGCGGGGAUAACUACGCGAAAGGGUAGCUGCCACUACCGCUACGAAGACUUCGGGAAAGCGGGGACCUUCGGGCCUCGCACUAUUAGAGCGGCCGAUAUCGGAUUAGCUUAUAGUUGGUGGGGUAACGGCUCGUUCGCUGGGCGACGAUCCGGCUGGUUUGAGAGGAUGACCAGCCACACUGACUGAGACACGGGCUCAGACUCACGGAGGCGGGCAGUGGGGAAUUCUGGGACGCUUGGGAAACCUGAUCCAGCCAUCCCGCGUGUGCGAUGAAGGCCUUCGGGUUGUAAAAGCACUUGGCAGGAAGAAACGGCACGGAUACAAUACCCCGCAACUGACGGUACCUGCAGAAUAAGCACCGCUAACCACGCCUGCAGCCGCGGUACGUAGGGUGCAAGCACCUGAACACGGGCGUGUGCCGCGCGGCAGGCGGUUCGGCAGGAAGAUGUGAAAUCCCAGAGCUUAACUUUGGAACUGCAUUUCUAACUACCGAGCUAGAGGCCGAGGGAGGUGGAAUUCCGCGUAGCAGUGAAAUGCGUAGAUAUGCGGAGGAACACCGAUGGCGAAGGUAUCUCCUGGGAUAACACUGACGCUCAUGCACGAAAAGCGGGGAGCAAACAGGAUUAAGAUACCCUGGUAGUUCACGCCCUAAAACGAUGUCAACUAGCUGUUGGGGCUUCGCCUGGUAGCGCAGCUAACGCAAGGUGAAGUUGACCGCCUGGGGAGUACGGUCGCAAGAUUAAAAACUCAAAGGAAUUGCCGACCCGCACAAGCGGUGGAUGAUGUGGAUUAAUUCGAUGCAACGCGAAAACCUUACCUACCCUUGACAUGUCUGAAUCCCGAAGAGAUUUGGGGAGUGCUCGCAAGAGAACCGGAACACAGGUGUUGCAUGGCUGUCGUCAGCUCGUGUCGUGAGAUGUUGGGUUAAGUCCUGCAACGAGCGCAACCUUUGUCAUUAGUUGCUACGAAAGGGCACUCUAAUGUGACUGCCGGUGACAAACCGAGGAAGGUGGUGAUGACGUCAAGUCCUCGCCGGCCCUUAUAGUAGGGCUUUCACACGUCAUACAAUGGUCGGGACAGAGGUCGCCAACCCGCGAGGGGGAGCCAAAUCCCAGAAACCCGAUCAGUCCGAUCGCAGUCUGCAACUCGACUGCGUGAAGUCGGAAUCGCUAGUAAUCGCGGAUCAGCAUGUCGCGGUGAAUACGUUCCCGGGUCUUGUACACACCGCCUGUCACACCAUGUGGGAGUAGGCUUACCAGAAGUAGAAAUAGCCUCAACCGUAAGGAGGGCGAUUACCACGGUAGGAUUCAUGACUGGGGUGAAGUCGUAACAGCAG